rnacentral:sRNA from 1 species
GGAUCAUUAUCGAAUAAACUUGAACAGGCUGUUGCUGGUCCCAGGACAAUGUGCACGCUUGUCAUCUUUAUCAUUUCUCCCAACUGUGCACAUAUUGUAGACCCUGGAGGUUUUUGGAUUUGUUCCGAGUGGGGACUGCUGUGCUUCAAAGAAAAAGAAGUCGGCUUUCCCUUGAACUUUUUCCAGGUCUAUGUCAUUUUUCACAACCUCUUGAAUGUGUUUAGAAUGUUGAAAUAAAGAAAAGUUAAUAAAUACAACUUUCAGCAACGGAUCUCUUGGCUCUCGCAUCGAUGAAGAACGCAGCGAAAUGCGAUAAGUAAUGUGAAUUGCAGAAUUCAGUGAAUCAUCGAAUCUUUGAACGCAUCUUGCGCUCCUUGGUAUUCCGAGGAGCAUGCCUGUUUGAGUGUCAUUUAAACUCUCAAACCACAUCAUUCAUUUGACGUGGCUUGGGACGUGGGGGUUGCCGGCUUUCUUCUCAGAGAGGCCUGCUCCCCUGAAAAGCAUUAGUGGUAUCUGGAGUGGAAAACCGCUAGGUGUGAUAAUACUGUCUAUGCCUUUGGUUAUGCCACAAUGUGCUGCUUCCAACCGCACAUUUUUUGACAAACUUGACCUCAAAUCAGGUAGGACUACCCGCUGAACUUAAGCAUAUCAUA